CAGCAGCCGCGGUAAUACGUAGGUGGCAAGCGUUAUCCGGAAUUAUUGGGCGUAAAGCGCGCGUAGGCGGUUUUUUAAGUCUGAUGUGAAAGCCCACGGCUCAACCGUGGAGGGUCAUUGGAAACUGGAAAACUUGAGUGCAGAAGGGGAAAGUGGAAUUCCAUGUGUAGCGGUGAAAUGCGCAGAGAUGUGGAGGAACACCAGUGGCGAAGACGACUCUCUGGUCUGUAACUGACGCUGAGGAGCGAAAGCGUGGGGAGCGAACAGGAUUAGAUACCCCGGUAGUCCCUGUCUCUUAUAC
rnacentral:rRNA from 1 species